UAAGUGAAUUACUGUACUUUCAAUAUGUUCAGACUUACAUUGACCCCUCUGCACCUGCUGAAUGUGCUAGUCCAUUUGAUUACAAAUUUGAUUGGCUGAUGACUUGACUCCCUCCCCUACAUUCACACACGUAUUCAUAGCCUGUGUUCUGUGAAUUUUUUCACCCUGAUACUAUUUUCAAAAUAGUAUUUUGCUCCCGAAACUUUUGUGGUGUCCAUUUUGACUUGGAGGCCAGUGAUCAUUCGCUGCAGUCCAUCAUUCCCCCCAGUCGAAAUGGAUUGGACUAUGAGCGCCAACAAAGGCAGCCAAUGAGUUCACCAAAAGCCGGGGUCCUCAAUUAGUGGAAUGCGGUCCACGACUGGAACACGGCACACCUCUCUGCUGACUCGGGAGCAAAUGGCACUGGAGGAAAAAUAAAAAACACUUUUUUAAAAAACAUAUAUUAUUUGUAUGAAUCGCCGAUUUAUCGUUAUGUGCCACUAUUCUAUCUCUAAAAGGCCAAUAUUUAGUUUUGUAUUUCUAUAUUGUAAAUUGUUUUUGUAUUGUUUGGACCAAUGCUGCGCGUAUUUAAACAAUGUAACAUCCGGUUGUAAAUCAGCAGACAGCUGCGUCUUGGCAACGCAGGAGCCGGUAAGAUCACUUCCUUGUUGAGUUAUGAUACCUUACCUUAUAAUUUGCCUUUUUAACAUCUAACAGACGCGAACUGUUGUAAUUUGAUUUGACCAGCUGAUGUCUUCUCGCUGGUCUUGGAGCGGCUUCCGUGUUCGGUUUGAUUUGCACGCCUCGGAGAGCGCAGCGAGGUAAGUGGAGCAAAUAAGUAUUUAAUAUUUAUUUAUAACCACUAAUUGUGCACGUUCUCCC